ACGGGCCGGAUUUUAUCCGGUCCGGACCGGAACCCGGAUAACCGGGUUCCCGGAUAUGGGUUUCGGCCCGGAUUUGACCUGGGCCGAAACCCGCAUUUAUAUAACCACUCUACCCGGUCCGGACCCGGGUAUGAUAUCCGGGUUAUAAUACGGACCCGGUUAUACCCGGGUGUAUAUAAGGUGAAAAAUAAAACCCUAGCGGCUUGAGUCUGGAAGCCAUCUCCUACCUCUCUCCGUCUCUCGCGCCGAACCCUCUCUGAGUCUCCCCGAAACCAUAGCCAUCGUCCCUCUCUGAUUCUCUCGGAAACUCUAGCCGUCGUCUUCAUCAUCGUGCCUCGUCGUCAUCCUCGUGCCGAUAUAUGUUAAUGCAGGAAAGGUGUGGCGGCUGAGUAUCUUUUAUAUGGAAUUGCUGAGGGAGGCCUUGCUGACAUUAACAAGGUCGAGCAAUGGAAGAUCUCAGAAGUUCUCUCUACAAUGAGCUACGAACCUCCAAAGGUUUUGGCUCCAACAGCAGCGGUUUUGUGGGCCAGUGGUGGCAUUGAUUUGAGCUAAUAGGCUGUCCCUUUUCUCUCUCUCUCUCUUUUUUUUUUUUGCUUUUUUUGGUAGUUUAUGCUUGUAAGGAGUAAGCACAGGUUUUUGGCUUGAUUUGAACUAAUAGUUGAUAGUUUUAGAUGUCUUUUUUCCUUUUUCUUUUUUUCUUUUUUCUUUUUUUGUUUUUUUUAUUAUUUUUUUUCUGGGAAGGGGGUUUAAAAUUUACCCCUUUAAUCUGUCUGCAUGUACAAGAAGUGUAAAGCUUAAUAUUUAGUUUUGUAUGUUCUUACAGGUGAUGGGAAGUAGGAUUUGACUUCCCAAUUUUUCA